rnacentral:rRNA from 1 species
UCACCAGACUCCUACGGGAGGCAGCAGUGGGGAAUAUUGCACAAUGGGGGGAACCCUGAUGCAGCGACGCCGCGUGGGUGAAGGAGCACCUCGGUGCGUAAAGCCCUAUCGGCAGGGAAGAAAAGCGAACAGGUUCGCCUGGACGGUACCUGACUAAGAAGCCCCGGCUAACUACGUGCCAGCAGCCGCGGUAAUACGUAGGGGGCAAGCGUUAUCCGGAUUUACUGGGUGUAAAGGGAGCGUAGGCGGCGAUGCAAGUCAGAAGUGAAAGCCCGGGGCUCAACUCCGGGACUGCUUUUGAAACUGUGUCGCUAGAUUGCAGGAGAGGUAAGUGGAAUUCCUAGUGUAGCGGUGAAAUGCGUAGAUAUUAGGGGGAACACCAGUGGCGAAGGCGGCUUACUGGACUGUAAAUGACGCUGAGGCUCGAAAGCGUGGGGAGCAAACAGGAUUAGAUACCCUAGUAC